AGACUAUGGCGGUACAUAUACUAAAAUUGGAACGAUACAGAGAAGGUUAGCAUGGCCCCUGCGCAAGGAUGACACUAUGGCUGUCAAUUCUACCACACUACGU